rnacentral:SRP_RNA from 13 species
UCCGGGAGCAGCGGUGCAUGACUGUAGUCCCAGCUACUUGGGAGGCUGAGGUAGGAGGAUCGCUUGAGCCCAGGAGUUCUGGGCUGUAAUGCCCUAUGCCGAUGGGAUGUCCACACUAAGUUCGGCAUCAAUAUGGUGACCUCCUGGGAGUGGGGGACCACCAGGAUGCCUAAGGAGGGGCGAACCGGCCCAGGUUGGAAACGGAGCAGGUCAAAACUCCCAUGCUGAUCAGUAGUGGGAUCCAGCCUGUGAAUAGCCACUGCACUCCAGCCUGGGCAACAUAGCAAGACCCCGUCUCUA